AGAAAAACAGUCUGGUCGCUGUCGACUAGGUCUGAUUGUAUUGAUAGUAAUGUCGGUCAUCAAUCGAUUAGGGAAGGAGAAGGGCCAUAACCCUGCAUUAAUCUGGGAAUCUCAGCAUUGUCGUCGUCGUGUUGCCGGCGACGAUCAAGUCGACGGCGCCAUCAACAUCGACAAUGGAUGGAUAAAGGGAACUCCUCUUUCCACACUCCAUCUGCUUGGGCGGGAGAAUCUAUGGAAGGAGUUCAACAAGAUCAAUUAGGAAGUCUCUAAGCUUAAGCGUAUAUUCUCAUGUUGUUCCCAAAUUAAAGAAUUAUAGCGCGAAUAGAUAAAGAUAGAGAGAGCCAGACAGAGGUGGCCCAAGGCGCACACACACAGGUGAGCUGGACUUCUCAAUAUUACAAAUCAAGUUGAGUUAUUUUCCUAAGAUUCUGGACAUGUUUAGGGAAUGAGAACAGACAAAUUUAUUAGGCUUAUGUAUAAUUCUAUUAACAGAAUCUGUAUGCGCGUGUAUUUUAUUUACUGGGUCAAUAUAAUCUAAUUUAAAUAA